GUGGUUCCCAUGCUGAAAGGGUUUGGUUGGGGAGUGGGGACUCGAGAAAUGCACAUCACAUCACAUCACAUGACGAUACGUUCGCGCCUCUUUCGUAAAACUCUCCGACCAGUAAAGAUUCAAAACAACUUAAAGGUGAUCUUCAAAUACAAUGCUUCUAAAAUGGAAAGUAAACUCAGAAUUACGCCAUCCAAUCCUCAUCGAAAAAAAGAUUGACUGUUUUCCCAACCCUAAUUAUUCUGGUUCUGUACAGUAUACAUCCGUAAUUCGCCAGAUGUUGUGAGCAGCAGUAGUGUGCCAUUUAUCCACUAAUUAUUCUGGUUCUCCAGCUAAGGUGCAUCUAGUGUAGUUAGUGAAAUAGUUUAGUAUCUACUGCCCUAGUUGCUCCUUCUGGCUGGAGCACUUGUAUCCCAACUCUGGACAUUUGGUGACAGCAGUUUCAUCUGUUUCCUGUCACUGUUAAUUUCUGACCUGUGAGCUAGCAUAUGUCACAAUUUGGAAUUAAGUGUUAUAUUUUGAAAAUGUUUUAGUAUAAAAAGUAAACACCACUACCUCAUUGCAUGUUCUUUCAUAUUUCUGGUACUGAGUCAUAAGUUAUCAGCCUUUUUUUGUAGUUUGUGUCAAGUUUUGUUGGGGUAUUCCAAGUUCUAGAAUAUUCUAUGUUGUAUUGUCCUGGCAGUUCCAAAGUGCUCACAGUGCAGGUAGUUUAAAUGGACCUACUGCAGUGUGUGCACUUCAAGUAUUGCCGGUCACCCUCCCUUUGAAGCGCACUACUGAGACCAUCUUGAAGAGAUCCAUCCAUGGCACUUCAUGGGUUUACUGUGAGUUUUGCAGGUUUGCUUUCAGCUUCUGAAAAUUUCUGCUGUGCAAAUCCAUGCAAAACUCUCUGUACCUGAGAGACUCAACAAACAAGAGAAGAGCUUCUGUUCCCCUGGGUCCCCUUGUAUUGUUUUAUAUUGUUCAGAAAACUACAAUAUCCUCAUGUUCAAGUUGAACACUUCUGCUAUGUUUAAGUAUGCAGCAGACAAUCUGUCAACACAGCUGUUAUUGCGGGCUUGGUCUCGGGGAUGGCAAGCAUGGGGAUGUGUUAUGUCUGUGUGGGUUGGAAGAAUGGAUUUGCUUGGCAAGCAGUUUAGCUUGUUGUUUGUCUUGCUGUUUUUGGGUGGAAGAGUUCGCAAUGUUAAUGGUGGCCAAAAUCAACCAAAAGAUGCACAGUAUACAUCUGUAGUCCGCCAGAUGUUGUGAGCAGCAGCAGAGUGCCAUUUAUCCACUCUGUUCCUUCUCUAAAUUUAAAACAAUCAACUCAGCUGCUGAAAUAAAAGAACGUUGAAGGGUUUUUUCUGUCAUUGCUUUUCCUUUACAAAUGCAACAUCUGUAGAAGUUUGUAUCCUUCAUAGGACCAGGCUGUGGAAGCUGUGGCUAUAGCCAGUACCCCACUAGAUGGCAGUAGGUGCAUAUGGGGUACUGCUGUACACUUGAACAAGAGAAAAGCAGAAAGCAAACUACAGUAGCACUCGGGAUUUGACAGAGAAUAUUACCAUGGUACCUUAACACAAUUACAGUGUAGGUACACAUUGUUACCUAGGACUUGAACAUGUUUGUGGUAUGUUUAAUUACACUUUGGAAGGCCUAUUGUUAUAUGCAUAAGAUUUAUAAAGAAAGAAAUGUGUUAUGUCUAAAAUCUCAUCACCAUGGAAUUAUUGUUUUCAGAGUUAAUUUGAAAUGAUGCUUGCCACACAUGGUUGCCAAUAAAACUACCAUGUCAAUGGGUUUUGGGGACACUGAAA